CUUGCUACCAAAAAAAAAAAAAAAAAAAAAAGCCAAUAAACACAUGAAAAGAUGAUCAACAUUGCUAAUCAUUAGUGAAAUCCCAGUCAAAACCACAGUAAGAUACUGCCUCACACCUAAUAGGUAGCCAUAAAACAAGUUCAAUAGUCAAAAAUCUUCAGAUCGCCCACCUAGCUAAAGACAUUUUUAUAUCCAGACCAGUGGGGCAUGACUCAGUGAGAAAAUAACAACACAGAUGAAUCUCAAAAUAAUUUAUGCUGGGUGAAAGAAUCCAGGCAAAAAGGAUGGACACUGUGUGAUGACUAUUAUAUAAAAUUCUGUAAAGUACAAAGCAAUGUGUAGUGAUGGAAAGCAAAACAGUGGUUGCCUAGUAGGGGAGGGAACCCAGUUAUACCUUGUUAGAAAAACACAUGUGAACGUGUGUGCACGCAUCUCCCUGGAAGCUGGAAACCCUCUGUGCUUGUCCUUGCUUAGAGCAUCCACAACAGGAGUCCAAGUGUAGUCACGAGCCACGAGUCUGAUGUCGUUACCUUUAGCAACACCAAGUCAUCUUCAAGCAAGUUAGGAUUCUUCCCUGAUAUGAGAAUAAGGAAAUCAGAGGUUUGUAUUUACAGCCCACCAUGCCACAUUGACACAGCUGUGGCCAGCAGUGGACAGAACGCCUGUCUCACAAGCACUCACCUGCUGAUGAGGAAAGGGAGAUUCUAGCAAGCAAAUGGCAGCAGCUCAUGCUUAUGGGGGCCUUACCAGAUGCCAAGCACUUCCCAGGUGUCAGCUCACUUAAUGCCCCAAAUGACCUUAAAGGUCGUCUUAUCUCCAGGAGAGGACUGUGGCACUGAAAGAUUAUGUCCAUGAUCUCGUAACCAGUGAAUGGUGGAGCUGGGUUUGUACUGUGCAGCCUGUCCCCAGAAUGUGCAUCUGUCACCACAACCCUUCUUCAUACUGAUGAGGUCUAAGUGAUGCCAAGGUCACACUGAUGAGGCUGAGGCAGGAGGAUUGCAAAUUCAAAGCCAGCCUCAGCAAAAGUGAGGAGCUAAGCAACUCAGUGAGACCCUGUCUCUAAAUAAAAUAUAAAAUAGAGCUUGGGAUGGGGCUCACUGGUUGAGUGCCCCUGCAUUCAGUCCCUGGUAUCCCCACCCUCCAAAAAAGGUCAAAUUUAG
rnacentral:lncRNA from 1 species